CAGGAGUCCUAGUAGGGAGAACAUGGUCCAGGUGUCUGGAGUCCUAGUAGGGAGAACAUGGUCCAGGUGUCAGGAGUCCUAGUAGGGAGAACAUGGUCCAGGUGUCUGUAGUUCUAGUAGGGAGAACAUGGUCCCGGUGUCUGUAGUUCUAGUAGGGAGAACAUGGUCCAGGUGUCAGUAGUCCUAGUAGUGAGAACAUGGUCCCGGUGUCAGUAGUCCUAGUAGUGAGAACAUGGUCCAGGUGUCAGGAGUCCUAGUAGGGAGAACAUGGUCCCGGUGUCAGGAGUCCCAGUAGUGAGAACAUGGUCCCGGUGUCAGGAGUCCCAGUAGUGAGAACAUGGUCCCGGUGUCUGUAGUCCUAGUAGGGAGAACAUGGUCCAGGUGUCAGUAGUCCUAGUAGGGAGAACAUGGUCCAGGUGUCAGGAGUCC